UUUUUUUUUUUUUUUUUUUUUGAGUCAGGGUCUCACUCUGUCACCCAGGUUGGAGUGCAGUGGUGUAACCCCAGCUCACUGCAGCCUCCACUUUCUGGGCUCAAGUGAUUCUCCCACCUCAGCCUCCCAAGUAGCUGGGACUAUAGGUGCACGCCACCACGUCUGGCUAAUUUUUGCAAUUUUGUAGAGAUGGAGUUUUGCCAUGUUGCCCAAGCUGAAGAGCUCAUACCUUCUGAGCACUUACUGUAUGCCAGGCACAGUCUAGGCACUAAACAAAUAUCGUCUGAUUCUGUCCUGAUAAUAAUCUUGUGAGGUAGCAACUAUUCUUACCUUCUUUUAUGAAGGAGAAAACAGAUUCAGAGAGUUUUAGCAACUUACCUGGGGUCACCAGCUAGAAAGUAGCAACACUACUCAAACCUAGUGGGUCUGGCUUGGAGCUUUUAACUCUAUAGCCUUCCUGCCUUUCGAACAGCAGCCCCCAAGCACAGACCACCAGCCCAACUCCAUGCCUGCUUCUCCUCUUGCCUGUUGCUGCAACUGUCCCCAAGCAUCUUUCUCGGGGCGUUCUGCCUCACCCUUGUCUUUGUUCCUCCCACUGCUGAGCCUGCCCAGGCCUGGGGCUCAGCCACACUGCUGGGCUCCAAGGAGAGACCCCAUUUUUUUCUUUUUUUUUUGAGACAAAGUUUCACUCUUGUUGCCCAGGCUGGAGUGCAAUGGCGCAAUCUCGGCUCACCGCAACCUCCGUCUCCUGGGUUCAAGCAAUUUUCCUGCCUCAGCCUCUCGAGUAGCUGGGAUUACAGGCAUGCGCCACCACUCAGCCAAUUUUUGUAUUUUUAGUAGAGACGGGAUUUCUCCAUGUUGGUCAGGCUGGUCUCGAACUCCCGACCUCAGGUGAUCCGCCCGUGCCUCAGCCUCCCAAAGUGCUGGGAUUACAGGAGUGAGCCACUGCUCCUGGCCAGGAGAGACUACAUAUUAAGUGGCACAACUGGAAGAAAGAACCCCAGUCCAGGCAAGAAAGCAACACAGGUGUGGAAUUUGGAAGGAGUGAGCAGUGGAGCCACAGGAAGUGGAUGCUGGGCAAAGAACAGCAGGAGAUAAGAUGGGAAAGCAGGUUGGAACCUGGUUGUGGGGAGCCCUGAAGGCCACACUAAGGUUUCUGAUUGGGACCCUGCAGGUGACGGGGGACACGGGAAGGGGAUGGGAGCAGGGAAGGGACGUGGUCAGGCUAGUAGGGAAGAAACCCUCCUCCAGCACCGCAGGCUGGGCGGGGUGGUAGAGAGCACCUGGAGGCGGUCCCCAGAGUGAAAGCUGUCACAGACUUAGCAGAUGAGGGGCUUGUGGGCCGAUGUUUCCCGGAUGUAGCUGGGCUGAGGCCCUGCUAUGGCCCCUGCAGCCCUGCAUGUGUGCAGAACCCCAUGGGCUGUCUCAUCACCAGGAUAGUCCCCAGCCUGGUGGCCAUGUCUGUCCUCAUGAGUUAAAUGGAUGUCCUCAUUUGUUAGCAGGUGUAGAGGUGACCUGAGAGCAGGGGCCCCAUCCGGCCUCCACCCCGUCCUGAGCUGAGUCUCCCCAAAAUAGGACAGGUCACAGUAAUAGCUAAAAUCACAUUUACAGAGUAGCGAUCAUGUGCCUGCUGCUGUUUUAAGCAUUCACUGUGGAUUAAUUUCUUUACUCUGAUGAGCAACCCUGUGAAGCAGGUGCAAUUAUUAUCCCCAUCUUAUAGAUAAGAAAACUGAGGUUACGAGAAUUGCUAAGGUCACAUUUGCUAAGUGCUGGGGCUGGACUUGGCGCACACACCCAGGUCCAGAAAAAACUCUGUGCACCUGGGAGGAGCUGAGAGCUGGAGUUGGACAGAUUUGGGAUGGAACAAAAGUCAGUGUAGCUGUGACUCUGAGUGCCAGCCACAAAGGAGGGGUAGCAUCUCAACGGGGGCCAGACAACCCUGAGGACAUGGCUCCAACCACAGCACCUGCCACUACAGAAGCUCCUCUGCCCAAUCUCCCCAACUUAGACAUAAUCCCCAGGUAGGAGGUCCCCAAAUAACUAAGAGUAUGUUUCUGCUACACUCAAUGAAAUGGGGGCUCAAAGUAGAAAUCCAGUCAGUGAUAAAAAAUAAAGUUACAUUUCUUAUGCAUCAAUUUUAUGACUUCAUACCUGAUACACUAUCAUUGAACCCAUUGUACAGAUGCGAAAAUUGAGACUUAGAAUAAGCAGUGAAGAUAAGUGUGGAUGGCCUCCAGGGCCCCAGCGAUGAGCUCACACUUCACUAUUCAGUUUGAGUAAACCUAAUACACAGUGGAACAAACUGGGGUUUGAUACUUUGACAGUUCCUAGGUUCUAAUCCUGUCUCUGUCCCUUGGUCACUGUUGAACAAAUUGCCUCUCUGAACCUCAGUUUCCAUGUCUGUGAGAUGGACAGGUAAUGCCCUCCUUCAUUGAUUUGCUCCACAUACAUUUAUUGAGCAUCUACUAUGUGCCAGGCACUGUAC
ensembl:lncRNA